CUACGGGUCGCUGCAGUGAGGAAUUUUGCGCAAUGGGGGAAACCCUGACGCAGCAACGCCGCGUGAGUGAUGAAGGCCUUCGGGUCGUAAAGCUCUGUCAAGUGGGAAGAACCUACCUAUGGGUAAUAUUCAUGGGUACUGACGGUACCACUGAAGGAAGCACCGGCUAACUCCGUGCCAGCAGCCGCGGUAAUACGGGGGGUGCAAGCGUUAUUCGGAAUUAUUGGGCGUAAAGGGCGCGUAGGCGGUCUUGUUAGUCAGAUGUGAAAGCCCGGGGCUCAACCCCGGAAGUGCAUUUGAUACUGCAAGACUUGAGUAUGGGAGAGGGAAGUGGAAUUCCUGGUGUAGAGGUGAUAUUCGUAGAUAUCAGGAGGAACAUCUGUGGCGAAGGCGACUUCCUGGACCAAUACUGACGCUGAGGCGCGAAGGCGUGGGUAGCAAACAGGAUUAGAUACCCUCGUAGUC
rnacentral:rRNA from 1 species